GCAGCCGAGGACCAGGAGAUAGAAACUCAUAGUCCGGCACAUAAGAAACAGAUCCUAUGUUCAAAUAGUAUCUGGAUAGUGGCAGUGGACAGAAAUACAUCCAAAGAUGCUUCCUGGAAGGAGGCCCUGCCAACCAACUAAAACCUCCCCAGCACGCACAGCUCCCUUUGAAGAAGGCUUGUGUUUCCGUCACUAAUGUGGAAAAUACGUCUUCUCCGUGACUUCUAGUAUCACUUCUUUGUACUACUGGCCAUAGGAACACAUCCGAGCUGGACUCCAGAUUUCAAGCAAGUGAGGCUUUUGGAACCAGGAGA